rnacentral:rRNA from 1 species
UACGUAGGGGGCAAGCGUUGUCCGGAAUCAUUGGGCGUAAAGAGCGUGUAGGCGGCCCGGUAAGUCCGCUGUGAAAGUCCAGGGCUCAACCCUGGGAUGCCGGUGGAUACUGUCGGGCUCGAGUCCGGAAGAGGAGUGUGGAAUUCCUGGUGUAGCGGUGAAAUGCGGCAGAAUAUCAGGAGGAACACCAAUGGCGAAGGCAGCACUCUGGGACGUGACUGACGGCUGAGACGCGAAAGCGUGGGGAGCAAACAGG